rnacentral:tRNA from 1 species
GGGCCUGUCGUAUAGUGGCAAUACACCGCAUUCGCAUUGCGGAGACGCCAGUUCGAUUCUGGCCAGGUCCA